rnacentral:lncRNA from 1 species
AUCUGUCAGAGCACUGAGGUCAAUACUGGAGACUAAAUACUAUGACUGAUUACAGAUUGACUACAGCUGAUGAAUCAUACAUAAAACCAGAACUAAGGCAGACAGGACAACAAAACAGGAAAUACCAAAAUAAAACAGGAAAUGGCAAACGAACGUCCAGGUUGUGACACUGGAAUGUCAGCGUGAGGCCCUGCGGCCGCUGCCUUCACUCUGAGGUCGGAUCUGAGUGACCUAAUCACUUGUUUGACAAAGAAGCAGAGCAGCACAGACCCCCUGUGGAGAGGACGGAUGCACCUGGUGGAGGCAGAUCUGAACCAUGCAGUGCUUAGACACACAAGGCCUUCAGCAGCGCUGUUCAGCUCCCACGUGACGUCAUCAGUUGGAAUCAAGUUACAGAUGUUGGCCUCUGCAUCUGUUUGGAUUUUUGUCAACGUGAAACAUUUACUGAUUGUUUGGGCUAUAACUAGUCAGGAGAACAGCUAUGGUCAUGAACAGCUUGCUCUAUGUCCCCCACUGUAAACCAAAGCUGUUUGAUCAGAGAAUUAGACCAGAAGAUGAUGAAAACACUGACACAGCUACUGACUCACAGUAACAGAGGAAUCUUGUGAUAUGAAUUAGGAUUAUGUUUAACUGCUUUUUCGGUUUUGCAGAAAGUCUUUUAAUUUACCAUCCAUCUAAUUUAAUGCCAUUAUUAUUUUACAAAUAGGUCAAUUUAGACCAGUUUAGUUUGUGGGAAUGUUUCUAAGCAAUCACGUAAAAAGCAGUGUUUGACCAUUAGGGCAGAAAAACUUCUCCACAAUGAGCUGCAUUUGUGUAAGCUUUUGAAAAUGUACUUAUUAUAUAAAUACAACAGUUUACGUUCAACCUGAACAGAACUGUCAGCGGGGGAAAAUGUGUUGAAUCCAGCUGUUUGUGUGUUUUCCAGAAAAUGAGCCCUGAGUGCAGCAAUAAUAUCACUUUAAUAGUAUUUAUUUAACUUACUGAUAGAUGUGUAUACAACUUAAUACUGGUAAAAGUUGGUUAAAAUAAAUAAUAUAAUUGGGCUAUAUAUAUAUUUUAC